UUAAAAUAAUUAUUUUUAUUUGCAUUAACAAAAAUUGUAAUAAAGAUUAGUGUGAUAAAAUUUAUUUAAACAAUUUUUUUGUUUGUUUUGUUAAGAAUGAAAUUCGGUGUAAGAUUUAAGAUUAAGAGUGUACAGGUGUUUGGGUGAAAGUGAGGAGGAAGUGGAGUGGGGGGAAGUUGUUUACGCCGUAAACUAUCCCUUCCGUUGUUUGUUUUGUCAUAAUUUUAUUACGGUCGAAAGUCGAGUUCAUCUAAAAUAAGGUAAUUGACUUCGCCCUCCCACGGAGCGAAGUCAAUUCCGGUGAAGUGCAAAGAGGCAAAAGAAUUUGUUAAAUUUGGUUAGGUAAUGUGAUCAAAUUUGAUUAGGUAAGUUUUAAUAUAUUUUUUGUUUAAUUUGUAUAUUUAGAAAAUGAUGAAAAAUAAAUUUGUUAAAUGUUAAUAAUUUUUUAACUUUAGAAUUUUAUUUGUUGCAUUAUUAUAAUUUAUAUGCAAACAAAUAAUAUAAUUUUUUAAAAUUUUAUUAUAUAAUUAUACAUAUAUAUAAUUAUAUACAUAUAAAAUUAUAUUAAUUUUUAUUUAUUAUAAUUUAUUAUUUACUAAGUUACAAAAUAGACAAUGAUACCACUUUGGAGGUAAGUAUACCGGUGGUGGAGAACUACACUUUUUACAUCAUCUACUUCCUACCAAACAAAUAAUAGAACUCGCAGAACUAUACUUCCACAGUUAGAAACAAGCAGCGGAAGUGAAUUAAUUUUUACCCUAACUUCACUUCAACCCAAAAUCUACUUCCACCCCAAGUCUACUUACGUUGAAACAAACAUGCCCUCCCCAAGUGGGGGUUGUUCAUGAGACAGCAAUGUUGAGAGAACAGAAUAAAUUCAACACGAGUCCUAACGGGCAGUAUCAUGACGGACGAACAGGGCUAUAUAUUGGGGUGUACUGCAGCCCCGCAUGGCCUACAUAAGUCGGGCUGCAACGGGCUAGGAAUCGGUCUAGCCCGGCCUAAUUUCAAAUUCAGGCCGUGUCGGGCCCGAGCUAACAACCCUCCAGCUAGGGUUGUUAUAUGGUCUGUUCCAGACUGGCACGGCCAACAUUAUCUGGGCUGAUUCUCAAUUGAUUCGGCCCGACUCGAUUACAAGUUCAGGCUGGGCCGUACCGGCCCGUUUUCUCAAAGCAGGCCCGGCCCGGCCCCUGGCCUGGUCAGCACGGGUCGGGUUUAGUGCCAGUCGAGUAAAAAAGUUUUCUUUUAAUUUCUUCCCAACUGUCUUUUGUUAUAUUCUUUUUAUAAAAAAAAUUCUUUUAUAAAAAGAGAACUAAUUUUAAAUUUAUAAUUUUUUGACUUAUAGUUUUUAAUUUACACUUUUUUAAAGAUCUUUUACAAGUUUUAUUAAAUUUUAAAAAAACUAAAAUACCAACAAUAAAGUUAACUUUUUAAUAUUAUUACUUUUUAAAAAUGCCCUCUCUAACGGUCAAAUUUCUGAAUACUAGUGAGGGCAUUGUGAAUAUUAUUACUUUUUUUUAAUUUUUUUUAACUCUUUCUUUCAAAAAAAAAAGGCCUUUUUUCCACAACCAAAAAAAAAUUCCAACGACCGUUAGGUAGGGAUGCAAACGGAUUAGGGUUGGUGAAGCUCCCACCCCAAUCUCCACGCUCCGAUCCGCUCCGAGAGAGCAAUAAAUGGAAGAAAAUAAACGGAUUCAUGGCAGGAAACAGAAUAAAUUUUACUAUCCGAGACGGAUUUGGAGCAGGAAACAGAGAAAUUUUGACCCGCCCCGAAUCCGCCACGCCCUGGCCAUGAUCCGCCCCGAAAAUUAUUUAUAUUUUUAAAAAAUAUUCCUAAAAAAUAAUGUAUUUAUGAAAAAAAUUUAAAAUACAAGUUAAUAUUCUCAUUUCUAAUGUAUUUAAAACUUUUGAAUUUUGUUUUGAAUUGUGAUUGAUAUUUUUAAUUUUUAUAAUUGAUAUUGUUAAAUUAUAUAUAUAUUAUUAUUAAAAAUUAUUAAUUUAUAUUUAUAAAAUAUUAAUAAUAUUAUAAUAUUAGUUGGCAGGGUGAAUUCGGGACGCCGACGGGAGGCGGGGUUACUAGGCGAGGCGGAUUAUGGAAUGUAUUUUUUAAUCCGUCACGGAUUCGGGGCGGGAGGCUGGGCGGAAUUUUGCUAGACGGUGCGGGAGGCGGAGCGGGGCUCCCGUCCCCAGAUCCGCUUUGCGUCCCUACUGUUAGGCCACCCUCUGCCAGACCCUUGGACGUGGGUAAGGUCUAGGAGCCAGGCCUAAGAUUUACAUAGGCCCGGCAAAGCUUCAAGCCUAUAGGCCUAAUGGCCCUUAUUUAAUAUCUGGAACCAGAAACUAUUUUAUUAUUUUUUAAAUUUUAUUAUAUUAUAUAUAUAUAUAUAAUUAUUUUAUAUAAUAUCUGUUUCUAAAAAAUUAAUUUUUAGUUCAAAUUAAGUGGAUAUAAGUUUUCACCUUUUACUACUUAAAAUAUUAAUCGUCAUUAAUAGAAAAUAAAAUUUGUUAAAUUAAUUUUAAGCUGUUAAAUUUCAAUACUACUUGCCCAAAAGAAAAUCCGGUUAAUUUGAUUAAAACCGAAAUGAUUUAUUGCUUUGAUGGUUCAACUAGUGGAUUGAACGGAUCAAAAUGAUUUUUUAACUUAUCCAAUACAAGUGUCGAAUUGAAUUGCUCAACAAAUUGAGUUAUGAUCAGACCGGUCGAACUGGCCAAUUAUACCCGAUUUUUAAAGCAUUGUAAAGUAGAAAAAUCUUUAAUCUAGGUUCCAAAAGCAUUGGAAUCAUGCAGACCACCGUCUAGGAUUGAACAAAUUCUAUCCCAAAUUUUAAUCCAUUUAUUCAAAGGAUGAAGUAUCUUCGCUUGUCACAUCAGAUGACUAGUGAGUGACUUAUCUCUGUUUUUUCACAUAAGUUUACAUAAGCUAUGAUUUGUUUUUAGACCCAAUGUACUACAAUACUCCAUGCUUAUUAGUAAAACAAAAAUUCAGUUGUUCAUCGAUUGCUAGCGAGUGAAGUUGUUACAUUUAAUAUCAAUGUCAUUUUUUUGUCGAAAAUGUGAAUGAGUCUUGAUUGAGUCAGGUCUGAAUGAUAGGCUAAAUCAAUAUCUGUAAAUGACAUUUUGAGGAGUAAAACAGAAAAUUUCUAUAUAUAUUUACCAUCCAAUUGUUAUUCUAAUUAUCUAUACCAAAAUAUAACAGGAAAUUUUUUUUUUUGUUUAUUAUGUUAAAUUUUAAAAGAUUAAUCCUAGUAAAUCAAAAUUUAUCUAUACCAAAAUAUACCAAAAAUUUAUUUUUCUUGUUUAUUAUGUUAAAUUUUAAAAGAUUAAUCCUAAUAUAUCAAAAUUUUCCACUAAUCAAAUAAGUAAAAUAAAAAUAAAAAUAUAUUUUUUAUUCUUUUCUUACCAUCUAAACGUGUAUACAUAAAAAAAUAAUAAUAAUAAUUUUCUUUCGGUUGAACAGAAAGAUAAAAAUUA
rnacentral:lncRNA from 1 species